GAGGGUAUAGCUCAGCGGUAGAGUGCCUGCUUGGCAUGCGUGAGGUCCUGGGUUCAAUUCCUAGUACCUCCA
rnacentral:tRNA from 1 species